rnacentral:rRNA from 1 species
CGUAACAAGGUCUCCGUUGGUGAACCAGCGGAGGGAUCAUUACCGAGUUUACAACUCCCAAACCCCUGUGAACAUACCUUAAUGUUGCCUCGGCGGAUCAGCCCGCGCCCCGUAAAACGGGACGGCCCGCCAGAGGACCCAAACUCUAAUGUUUCUUAUUGUAACUUCUGAGUAAAACAAACAAAUAAAUCAAAACUUUCAACAACGGAUCUCUUGGUUCUGGCAUCGAUGAAGAACGCAGCAAAAUGCGAUAAGUAAUGUGAAUUGCAGAAUUCAGUGAAUCAUCGAAUCUUUGAACGCACAUUGCGCCCGCUGGUAUUCCGGCGGGCAUGCCUGUUCGAGCGUCAUUUCAACCCUCAAGCCCCCGGGUUUGGUGUUGGGGAUCGGCUCUGCCUUCUGGCGGUGCCGCCCCCGAAAUACAUUGGCGGUCUCGCUGCAGCCUCCAUUGCGUAGUAGCUAACACCUCGCAACUGGAACGCGGCGCGGCCAUGCCGUAAAACCCCAACUUCUGAAUGUUGACCUCGGAUCAGGUAGGAAUACCCGCUGAACUUAAGCAUAUCAAUA